rnacentral:rRNA from 1 species
UGCCCUAGUAACGGCGAGUGAAGCGGCAACAGCUCAAAUUUGAAAUCUGGCCUUCGGGUCCGAGUUGUAAUUUGUAGAGGAUGCUUUUGGUGAGGUGCCUUCCGAGUUCCCUGGAACGGGACGCCAUAGAGGGUGAGAGCCCCGUCUGGUUGGACACCGAUCCUCUGUAAAGCUCCUUCGACGAGUCGAGUAGUUUGGGAAUGCUGCUCUAAAUGGGAGGUAUAUGUCUUCUAAAGCUAAAUAUUGGCCAGAGACCGAUAGCGCACAAGUAGAGUGAUCGAAAGAUGAAAAGCACUUUGAAAAGAGAGUUAAAAAGUACGUGAAAUUGUUGAAAGGGAAGCGCUCAUGACCAGACUUGGGCUUGGUUGAUCAUCCAGGGUUCUCCCUGGUGCACUCUUCCAGUUCAGGCCAGCAUCAGUUCGCUGUGGGGGAUAAAGGCUUUGGGAAUGUGGCUCCCUCGGGAGUGUUAUAGCCCAUUGUGUAAUACCCUGUGGUGGACUGAGGUUCGCGCAUUCGCAAGGAUGCUGGCGUAAUGGUCAUCAGCGACCCGUCUUGAAACACGGACCAAGGAGUCGUCUUCGUAUGCGAGUGUUCGGGUGUUAAACCCCUACGCGUAAUGAAAGUGAACGCAGGUGAGAGCUUCGGCGCAUCAUCGACCGAUCCUGAUGUUCUCGGAUGGAUUUGAGUAAGAGCAUACGGGGCCGGACCCGAAAGAAGGUGAACUAUGCCUGUAUAGGGUGAAGCCAGAGGAAACUCUGGUGGAGGCUCGCAGCGGUUCUGACGUGCAAAUCGAUCGUCAAAUAUGGGCAUGGGGGCGAAAG